ensembl:lncRNA
AGGAAGUAAACUCUGUGUCAAAUCUUACAACACAGUCCAGAAGUUCAGACAAAAAUGUGUUUAAGGUGUUCUUCCAGGUCGACCACACCCUCCCCAGGUGUGACCUACGACCUCGAUGGAGCGAUGGGGUUAUCAGCUGUGAGGGACAUCUAGUCAUCAGGCCUUGUGUUUUAUUGUAGUAUCAUUCACAUAUUAGAAUGAGAAAGUUGUGUCUGCAGACACCAGAGACUAUUUAUUGAUUUUAUUUGAAUAUCUUCAUUAAAUAGUGGAGCUCGUGCCGUGUGACAUGCUAACUCCAACCAGACACUUUAGUGAUGGCUACCAGUGAGCUAGCAGGCUAAUGCAAACACACAAACCACAAACAAUCAGUCGUGUUUUUUCACAAUGCUGAUUGGGAAGAAAUGUACAUUUCAGUAGAGAACGUUAAUAAGAAAUUGCACAGCUAUUAUGUUCACACGUUUGCAUGUCUAAAGACCCGUUUCAUUCCUUCUAGUUGAUUCUGCUGAAAUGAAUUGAUUGUGUUUAAAAUUGUUGCUGUUAAUAAAUUACAGGUGACACUUAGUAAUCACGAUGGACGAGGUCUUCUGACUCAAAGAGAAUUUAAAUGUCCGUAUUAUCCUUCUGGAAAUGAAAGACUUAUUUUUGUCCAGACACAGUUAAAAGUCCAGAGCAUCUUGUUCUGGGAAACUAGAAGCUUUAGUCUGAGUGAAGGCCCAGACUUUUAACAAGUUUGUUGUCUGCUGUUAUUGCUGCAGACGAGCGGGGGUCUUGGGGGGGUUGAAGCUCGCUGUCGGACUGGAGAUCUCAGACAGGGAGAAAUAAUAUUCAUAUCUGAUUCCUUCCUUUAGCUCUUCAUCCCCAGUGAGGAAGAGAUGGACGAUGACAAAGAACACGAAGCGAGGCGACAGGCUGAUGGUGUCAAUCAGCCUCAGCCCUAAACCUCAAACUUGUAAUGGAGACACACACACACACACACACACACACACACACACACACACACACACGCUCUCUACAACUGGUGAGUCAUCACCCUACACACUGAAUCUCAGACUUAUUCUGUGGAGCUUUUGAAAAAAAGAGUUUAUACUAAAUCCACUUGAUAUCCAAGUGGGCUGCUAAAGCACAGUAGUUUCCCACAAUGCAUUGCAGAACAACAACUGACAACACCUCGUUUGUGGAACUCUUACUGGUACCUCACCUCUGACCAGGGACACAAUGUUCUUUUUCUGGAUUGUUUUCUUGAUCUUUGGUAAGUUUCAGUCGGAGACAAACCAAGUAGCGUUUUGCAGAAGCAUUAAAACCAAAGUGAUUGAGUCCAACUUCCGAAACGAAGUACCGUUAGCCGGUCUGUGGACAAGAAACACAGUCGACAAGUCGUGAGAACGUAUCACAGCUCAGACAGAGACCCAAACGCAGAUGUGAGGAAUAAGCUUUAAUGUAGAGGAAUUCGGGCAGGCGGUGUCGGUGUCGGAGGCAGGCAGGAGUUCCGUACACGGGGGAUCUCUAGAAUCGACUGGGCACUACAGGGAUACAACGCUGGUAAGACCUGGUGGAACACACAAGACGAACUGGCAACAGGAACAGGGAGAAGACACAGGUUAUAUGCCCGAGGGAUAAUUGGCCAACAGGGAACACCUGGUGUGGGAGGAGACAGGGGAAAAACAGGUGAACGAUCUAAUGCGGAUCCAAGGGGACACUGUGAGACAAGUCUCGAGUCAGUCGUCCUACGUCCGUCACCUCGCUAAGCGCGACUGAUCUGACCAGCCUCGAGUCUCGAGUCCUUUCCGCGGUUUAACCAGGUCUAAACUAAGCGUCCUAAUGGCUGGCUUGAAGCGCUCAGGUCAGCAGCUGUAGAAAUAAUGCAUUAAUAUAUUCACACGAGGACGCAGUGUGUGUAUUAGACCGGCUUCAUUUCACCACUGCGAUGCCCCCUUCACCUGAGUCACCAGCUCUCAUCCUAAAGACUGUGAUUGCGUCCCAGCACAGAGGCAGGUCUGGUUCUUUCCUCGGAGAAGCUGUGACCCACCUUCUUUACAGGACACUCACUGACAGCUGUCGAACCCCCCCGGCAUCGCUCUGACGCUGCCGGGCACCGGCCAUGAUGUCUCAUCCAUAAGGCAUCACUCUGCUGUUCUUGGACCAAACCUGCAUGCGAAAAGACGAUGUGCAGUUCUUCUUGAGUCUCUGCUUCCACGUGGAUUCUUCUUGGAGGAAUGAACUCGCUCAGCAGAUAACUGGUAAAAAAAAAAACUUGCUGGAUCGUCAGCGUUUUCUCUCCAUGUCAGCGGCGAUAAGGAGGCAUCAGUGCUUCAGGGUUGAGGUGUCACCUGCUGAGGGAAACUCGCUCUGCUGUCACCUGCUGCCAGCCUUCCCCCAUCACCCCUCACCGGGUCGCCGUCUCCACCGGCAGGGGGGGGGGGGCAGAGCCCGUGGCUGAUGGUUUUAUCUCAGCAGGAAGUGGCCAAAGGGAGGCCUGGCUGCGGGACUCGGAACUGAUUGGUCGGAGCCGGAGUCGGCUUAGUGGCUGAUGAAGCCGAGCACGGCUGUUUCUAAAGUGCUUUUUACUGGGACGGAUACCUCCUCCUCCUGCCUGAGGUGAGAGACCUCCUCCUGCAUGAGGUGAGAGACCUCCUCCUGCCUGAGGUGAGAGACCUCCUCCUGCCUGAGGUGAGAGACCUCCUCCUGCCUGAGGUGAGAGACCUCCUCCUGCAUGAGGUGAGUGACCUGCUACAUCGGGUACACUGUAAAAAAAGGUCGCAAUUUUACGGAAAAUAACUUUUACAUUUUUUUUCCUUUUUUUUUAGAGUUAUGUACAAAACUCUGUAAAAAUAAAGAUAUCACCUAUAAAUUAACAGUUCAACUGUAAAUGUAAGUAUUAUGCUAAAAAUGGCAAUUCUUUUUUUUUUCUCAUGUUUUUACAGAAGAAAUAUGUAAUUAGUAUUUUACUGUUUUUUUUAAAUUAAAUUCAAAUCAUGUAAAAUCACAGUCAAAUGACUGGCAUCAGCGCCUGUCAAACAAAAAACGUAAAAUUAAGGUAAAAUGAGUUCAUUCAAAUGAAGUGCGAGAUCCAUAAAUUUAUAAAAUAAAUGUGUUUCUCUGUAAAAUUGUUAGGGAAAAUCUUUUUUUUUUUAACAAUGUAAGAGAGCUUCUUCUGCGUGAAAUGAACGACCUCCUCUUGCAUAAAAGAGAGACCUCCUCCUCCUGCAGGACACUCUGUCUUUGUGUCUUUGGUGUACGGCGGUCCUUAAAUCACAGGACGUCAUGAAUAAGCACGCCGGCUCAUUUGUUGGGAACGAAGCGGUGCGAGCGGUUACGGCGCGAGGCGCGUCAUGUUUAUGACGGCAUUACACAUGCUUUAUGAUGUCAGGAGUGUUUGUUUGCAGGGGGCUGCUUCCUGCGCCUCGGUUUAUUUACCAGGGAUAACAGACACAUCUCAGACGCCGCUCCUCUGGGACAACACAUUCACGGAUGAGACACUCGGCUCAUUUCACGGGAGAGGCGGAUAGAUUGCCGCUCUCCCUCCUAACUAUCCAAUCGCUCUUUGUUAAACAAGGCACAAACCCAAUUACAAAGUGCCACACGCUGACAGUUUAUUAACAUCAUCGCCGCGAGGGAGAGGCCGGGGCUGCUCGGCGCGCUCUGUUUGAAGCGCAGGAAGGAUUGUCCUUUUCAUUUCCAGAAGGAGGUCCGCGCUGGCAGAGGACGGGCAGACAAUCACUUCAUAUUCAUCCUCGGUGCUCCUGCAGGGUGAGGGAGCAGCGGCCUAAUGCCUGGGGUCAGGGAGCUUGGGGGGGUAAUGGAGUAAUAUUCCAGGGCUGCGUCUGAUCUCCGCCUCUGAUCACUUCAUUAAACCGGUGUUGAUGAAUGCACAAAGCGGUCGCAGCCCUCAAUCAAGGGGGAAAGGAGAGGAAGCGGGUGCGCGUAAUCCCUCACCCGCUUCCUCCCACACCGCCUGCCUUCACCCGCCGUAAUCAACUCACUCGUGACCGAGCAGAUCUGCCACAGGCUGCACACCGAAGGUGAGGCCCCCGCCUGACCACCGGACACUGGGGCUUCGCACCCGUUCACCUGGGGGCUCCUCGACUGGACCGAAGACCAGAUGCACAUCCAUCUGCGCUUCACUGUGCACAUACGUCCCUUCAACCUGCUCAACGUGCAUCCAUCC